rnacentral:rRNA from 1 species
AGAACGAACGCUGGCGGCAGGCUUAACACAUGCAAGUCGAACGGUUGUAGCAAUACAGCAGUGGCAGACGGGUGAGUAACACGUGGGAACCUUCCUAGGGGUACGGAACAACUCAGGGAAACUUGAGCUAAUACCGUAUACGUCCGUGAGGAGAAAGAUUUAUCGCCCCUAGACGGGCCCGCGUAGGAUUAGGUAGUUGGUGACGGUAACGGCUCACCAAGCCUACGAUCCUUAGCUGAUCUGAGAGGAUGAUCAGCCACACUGGGACUGAGACACGGCCCAGACUCCUACGGGAGGCAGCAGUGGGGAAUCUUGGACAAUGGGCGCAAGCCUGAUCCAGCCAUGCCGCGUGAGUGAAGAAGGCCUUCGGGUUGUAAAGCUCUUUUACCAGGGACGAUAAUGACGGUACCUGGAGAAUAAGCCCGGCAAACUUCGUGCCAGCAGCCGC